ACCAUAUCCCAGGGUGCAAUGCGCGCAGGGAAGAGGGAGUUUUUUUCAAAUGAAAUGGCUUCCGGUCUCCCCAGCAGAGUGGAUUUAAAAGCAGCAGCGAGCGGAGGAAUCACUAAUAAAUGACAAUUCUGGAAAAAUGUAUCUGCUGGAGAAGGACCCCUAAUCUGAAAAGUGCACAGUGGAUCAUCAGGACAGAGCUGCAUCCACCUGGACCCCCGAGGUGCUAGAGAAGGACCCCUAAUCUGAAAAGUGCACAGCGGAUCCUCAGGACAGAGCUGCCAUCCAGCUGGACCCCCCGAGGUGCUGGAGAAGGACCCAUAACCCCAGCGGAUCAUCAGGACAGAGCUGCCAUCCACCUGGACCCCCCGAGGUGCUGGAGAAGGACCCCUAACCCCAGAGGAUCAUCAGGACAGAGCUGCAUCCACCUGGACCCCCCAAGGUGCUGGAGAAGGACCCCUAACCCCAGAGGAUCAUCAGGACAGAGCUGCAUCCACCUGGACCCCCCGAGGUGCUGGAGAAGGACCCCUAACCCCAGAGGAUCAUCAGGACAGAGCUGCAUCCACCUGGACCCCCCGAGGUGCUGGAGAAAGCAAAACGGCGAUCAGGAACAUCCUCCACCCAGAUCUCUGCUUACUGCCGUCCUACAGACUUGUGUCUUAGUUUCAGAAUUUGAUUUUGUAUGUGUCCUUUCUUUUAAUAGAUAUUUAACGAUUAUAGCUUGAGUCUGUCUGAUUCCCCAAACAGCUGCUUCUAUAUACUUGCUGCACAUAUAAUACAAAUAAACACACUUUUGCUGAUA